rnacentral:lncRNA from 1 species
CCCAAGCAACCCAAAGGGCCAGUCUCACUCCCACCAUGCCCACCCCCACAACAGCACCAAGUCUGUUUCCAGGUAGUGGGCAAACAGGAAGUUACCCCAGGCUACCCACCUCCCAGCUGCAAAAGUAAGUAGGGCAUUCCUUCUUCCCCUGCCUGUGGAGUCUGUACGCCAGAUUCACCCCCUCCCCAGAGUUCUGGCCAGGAGACUUCUCGAUUGGUUCAAAUUGUUACAAAGUUCAGCUGGAGGUUUCCUUCUCCCUGUGGCCUUUUCCCAGUGCCUCUGGCAGCCCUCCUCAAGGACACCUGUGAGGCGAGGCAGAAAGGGCCUUCUAGGGGAUCCAGCAAGCCCGCAGGGAUUUUCCUGCUGCUUCCUGUACCCCUGUAUUUCUCUCAGUUCUCUAAACUGACCCAGCUCCAAGUAAGCCCUUGAACCUGCUUGCCUCAGUAACCAUGGCAAGUCCAGAUGGCUGCCUUAGGAUCAGAUGUAAACCUUGGAGAAACCAGCUGUGGCCAGUAUGUCAAGUUUAAGCAGACAAAUGAAGGUGACCUGUGGUGGGAAUACACAUUUUGAAACUGAAAAGAGAUGGUAUGUGGGGAUGUACGGAGAACUUGUUGGAGUCUCUGUUGUGGACAACGCUUUAUGUGGUUUCAAGCUUCACAUACAAAAAAAAAGAAGGAAAGUGGCAGCACCCAAAAAAGAUCAAAACAAGGCAAGGAUCUCUGCUCUCGACCCAUCUAUUCAAUAUUGAACUAGAGGUCCCAGAUGGUGCAAUAAGGGACAUGGAUGAAGCUGGAAACCAUCAUUCUCAGCAAAC